rnacentral:tRNA from 2 species
UGCGGGAUCGUUUAAUGGUAGGACGGAGGACUUUGGAUCCUCUAAUCUAGGUCCGAUUCCUAGUCCCGCAGCAA